AUAAAACUAAAAUCAGAAAUGGCAAUAGCAGACAAGUGAAUAACAAAGCAGAAAUGAUAACAGGCAAUCAAAUGGAUAAACGAUUCCUAA
rnacentral:sRNA from 1 species